rnacentral:ncRNA from 1 species
CUAUGCCGUCGGUGCCCCGUAAAAAGGGUCAAAAGGGAACACGGUGCGAAUCCGUGACAGCCCCCGCUACUGUCAGUGCUUAUGCGGCUUCAUAUCCAUUGGGGUCUUUGGGUUCCGAGAAGGGAAGUCCGCUUAAAGGCAUGAGCCAGGAAACCUGCCGAUGAGCU